rnacentral:lncRNA from 1 species
UUUGUCCUGUUGUUACCUCAGCAUUAUGGCUGCAGAAUAAUUUAGGAAUUGUGAUUCUGAAUCCAUUAUGGGAAAACUGGUUGUGGCAAGUAGCCAUAAAAAAACUGACUGGUAGUUGUACAAUAAAUUAAAUCCCUCUACCCAAUGUUGGCCAUCUGGAGAUGUGCAACCCUGUUCGUCCAUUUAAACAAUAUGAAUCUGCACAGUGGAGUUCCACUAAAAUCAUAACUGAAGGCAGGUUACUAUCAAAUGAAUUGUUUAGAAGGAGAAAAGGCUUUUCAUCACAAUUUACAAUGGAAAAUUGGAAAUACAAUACGAAAAAACUUGGGAGAUAUCCAAAUCGGUCAAUAAGCCUCCUUGCAUGUGUGUGUGUGUGUGUGUGUGUGUGUGGUGUUGAUGUUGGUGUUGGGGGUCUGUACAAACCCUUUGGCACUAGAUCAUGGCAAUCUGUUGAAACCUCGACUACAAAUUAUUCCAUGAAUUUUCUGAUGAAUGACAUCUUCAGAAUUUUUAUAACCAACAAAUGAGGAUAAUCAUUUCUUCUGGAUCAAUUUUCUACACUUCCAGCAGAGUGCCUAUCAUAAAACCUGGUUUAUCAUUGGUGGUAAACAUGUAAAGAGGGAGGUCAGCAGUAGCGACUUGGGGUAGAAUGACUCUAGAUGGUGGUCACAGCUUGGGUGAAGAGAUCUAGAAUAGCCAGCCAAGGGAGAGACCAACGGUGGACUUUAGGGAUUUGGCAAGACUUUGUUAUUUAUUACUUGAUGAAAAUAGAUGGUAAUAUCAUGCUUAUAUUGGCAGCCACCUGACAAGGAUAUCUAGCGCGACAAAUCAACUAAAGAUAAUACCGUAUCCAAACUAACCAGAUGUGAAGAUAUGCAUCUAACAAAUGUUGGAGUUGUGUCGAAUAUUGCGUACAAGGUAGGUCACAGUUGGACUCUGAGUUGUAUUGUGUCUAGAUAAGGUACGAGUCGUGUCCUAAUAGGGCACUUGUAUCCUACGCCUCCUAUAUAAUGUGAGGGUAGACACACGAUGUAACCUAUGCCAACAUAAUAGCACAGGCACACAGGGGGAGCUGGCGGCGUGUGUCGGUGCCUGGGUGGCCGGUGUGCGGUAUUGUGAUGGUGUCACGGGGAGGAGUGCCCGUAGUCGGCCCCCGGGGAUGUAGACGAGUUUGGUGAACCUUGUUAACAAAUCUCGGUGUUGUGCCUUGUGUGAUUGUUUGGUCCUCUGAUGAUUGACAACAUGCCUCGGAUUAUUCCAGCUCCACCUUCAGCGAAGACGACAUAGGAAUCGUGAUGCUCAUGGUGAUCGACUUAUGGACGUGGAAACAUGUGGCACAUGUCCGAGGGCUUGUGUGGCUUCGACAAGACUAUAGCGCGGGGUUGAUUCAAGACGGCGUAUGCAUGAGAGCUUGAAGUCGACGGGGCACGGGGUGGACUGAUCAUCUACCAUGGAGUUAUGUUGAAGGUGGAGCUAGAGUUCGACAGGGGAUUCCACUUGGUGCUGAUUGAGGGGCUACGACGUAAGUUGACAGAGAGUCGAAGCCUAUUGAACGGGAAAAGCGAGAGACACAUGGUUCAGACUAGAGCCUAGUGGUCCGAUGAAAAAGUGAAACUCGUCAUCGGUCAGUGAUGAUCAGUGGUACUCUGCAGUGGGGGUUGAGUGGUGUGGGUUUGCGACCCUUGAGACUCGACGAGAUAGCAGAGGCUCUAUGCGGUAAUAGGCUAAUAGCGGCGAGGUGUGCAGUAUGCACGGGACAUGGAGACGGACCACGGCUCUGCUGGUCAGGCAUGUGGUGAGACAACUACGAAUUUGACUCGGGAUGACUACAAGCAACAGUGAAAUUCCUUCAAGUUUUAGACAGGCGGUCGAAAAAGAGCGAGGAUGUUGAGUUCAGGUUACUCUUAUGUGUGGCAUGUAAUAAGUGAGUUGUUCACUUUCAUGCAGAUCAAUGAUCAGUGUGUGAUGGUGUUGAACGGAUACUCAGGAAGUUGGGAGCACAAAGUAGAGUAAAGAGGAACAAAAUUUUGCUCGAGUGUUGACUGUGAUCAACAAAAGAAGGGACUACAGUUGUAGGUGGAGUCACAUGGAGUCUAGAAGUAGCAGUUGUACUCAUGGAUAAGCUUAAGUCCAAUGUACAUGGAAGUUUGACACAUAGACGGAUUCAAGAUGGUGGAGAAUAUUCGCCAAGGUGGAGUUUUUUGGAGUUGUGCCGAAUAUUGUCUACAAGGUAGGUUACAUCUGGACUCUAAGUUGUACUGUGUCUAGAUAAGGUAGGAGUCGUGUCCUAAUAGGGCACUUGUAUCCUCGGCCUCCUAUAUAAUGCAAUGAUAGACACACGAUGUAACCUACGCCACCAUAAUAGCACAGGCACACUGGGGGAGCCAGCAGCGUGUGCCGGUGCUCGGGUGGCCGGUCUGCGGUAUUGUGAUGGUGUCACGGGAAGGAGCGCCCGUAGUCAGGCCCUGGGGAUGUAGCCGAGUUUGGUGAACCUCGUUAACAAAUCUCGGUGUUGUGCACAACCCUUCCCCUUGUCUUACCGGCGGCACCGAGCUGCUCCUCCACCCUUCCUCUGUUGCCGUACGAGCCUCCUUCACUGCCCGCCUCCUCUACUCGCCUGAUCUGCUCAUGUCUUCUCUAUCCACGCCUCUCACGGACAACUCCCUCCACAGCUUCUCCAUGCUUGGCCUCCCCAGCAAGAUCUGCGGUGUUAUAAUUGUCAGAUGUGCUACUCAAUUGAGCAUCUUGAUCGCUUGUGAUAUUAAGAUUUUAGGUUACCAAAUUUGUGAUUCAGAUAUUGGAGCUCUUGUUAGGUUGACCAGAUUAUGUUGUGUGUUGAAUACUGAAACUUCUAUUCAUCUGCCUGUUCCUGUAAUCAUGUCUGAGCUCACUUAGUUCUGUGUUUAGCUCAGGAUUCCCAGCAAGCAAACUAAAUACCUUUUAUCCAAACAACAUUUACUAGGGAAAGAAAUACGAAUAUAUACACUGGUUUUAUUGGUGCUCAGUAGAAUAUUGGGCUAUGUGAUUUACAGGUUUGAAACUUUACAUGGUUUCCCAAACAGAGUACCAGAUAGCCCUUUUCCUUAAAGAUAUUAAUUGUAAAUUCAUAAUAGAACCGAGGGUACAGAGUCAAUAUAUAAAUCUGCCAUAAGGCUAUGAUCCUCAACUGGAUAACCCUUUUCCUUAAAGAUGAGAACUACGCUGAUGUCCGAAUAGGAAACGUGGUAAUAUGAAGAUUUUUCUUUCUUUUGUUAACAGCAAGUAACUAGGCAUAUGAGGAAUUCAGUUGUUGUAAUAAUCCUGUUAAUGUUCCUUUUUCUGGUUCAUUAACAGCUAGACAAUGUCUCUGCUGGGUCAACUGAAUGGAAGGGUCUCCUGAAAGAUUACUGGGAACGAUUCAGCAAAUAUUGCGGAGAUGCUAGGCAGUGGGAUGUCAGAAAGGUAAUUUUUUUUGUGUGGUUCCUUGGAAAAUAUCUGUACCCUUGCACCCAGAAGGUUUUUCACGUAAACAACUACAUCUCGCAUGUGGUUAUUACUCCCAAGUUUUACUAUCUCAUAGUCAAACCAGCUUUUGUUUGACAUAUCAUCUGAAACUAGCAAGUUUUGCAUUUCUUCCAGGGACAAAUGAUAAGUUGUGGGCUAUGACAAUUCUCUUACAUCUGCGGAUAUAUCUUAUUUUGGAUGGAUAGUUUGUCAUUAUUGCUUGAAAGGCUGCUAUCACCCAACUAAAACACAGUUCUAGAGCCCUUAUUCUUAUUCAAACAAAAUUUUGUAUGUAUUACCUAAUUACCCUUUUUUGCAGUUCUCGCUAUAAUAUUUUCGGAACAGGCUUAUAGAUGAACAAAGUAAGAUGUAACCAGCUCACUGAUCCCCCAGCUAAAUAGCAUACUAGUCCUAGAUGGGAUUGUUGCACCUCCAAUAGGAUGUUGAAUCCCACCUGAGCUCAUCUGAAGUAGCGCAAGGUUGAGGAGGCUGGCUGGGAUUGAACUCCACCUUGCUGCUACAAAAUGGACAACACUUACGUUGAAGGAACUACUUCAAUGUGCUGCGCUAGAUAUCGCUCUAGAGGCGAUAUAGGCCGAUAUGGCAGCAGGAGUUCAAUCCAAAACUCCUAGAGCACAAGAUCUAGUCCAAGAUCUUGGAUAAAAAC